GGUGGUGGCUGGAAAAAGUGCUACACUUCAUUAGGCGCCAUGACAAACGAAGAGUCGAUCGUCCAAUUACAAGGCAGGCACUUGCUGCCAAAUUAUCUCGUUUGGUUCAUAGCCCACGAAUGCGUGUAAUCUUCGCAGCCAGUUGUGAAAGUUCCCAUAAAACCUAACUGCCUGACUGCCAAAGUUAAAUAUUUUUGUUAAAAUACUAAGCAUUAAGCUUAAAAAUAUAUAUCUUUUGGCAAGAGAUAGCAAGAGAGUGCUGUCUAGGAGGGAAACCUGUACCGUGGCCCACAAAAUUCAGCUUAGCAUGCUCCGCAAACUGAGUCAAGGCCCCCCGAGCCACAAUUUUUGAUUUCGGAAAUCUAUCGUCUUGAAAAGAAGUCUCAAAUAGCCGCUUUUUAUUCCAAAGGCCGAUUAUCUCGUGUGGAAAAGCGAGGCAUCACAACAUUUGUGUGUUGAAGAGGAAUUCCAGCCAGUGGAUGUUGCCAAACAUAUGGAAAAUAGAUGGCUCUGCUGCCCGGGUCGAGGGUUUCAUCAACGCAGUGCUGCAAUCGGAAGAGGUGUCUUGGACACUCCAUGAAGAUUGGGGAUAGCGUUCUGCAAAUCUAUCGCUGAACCGUUAACCGCCACAAGGCUUAGCGAGAGUCUCGAAACCGAGAAACCACUGCCUGAGAUCAAGUUGCACUUUAUGGGGCCAAGGGUCGUCGCCAUCUUCUUCAUCGCUUGGGGGGCUGCUGGGGCAGCUAUGUACGUAGGCGCGUGCCACAGUGGCGUGUGCAACAGUGGCGAAGCCAUUAAAGGCACAUAAAUCUUUGUUAUGAAAUUGGAAAUGAUUUUCCCGGCAGACACGUACGUAGCAUAAUGGUACGAGUACGAGAAUCGAUGCGUUCAGGAAGUGUCGGAGUGUCGGAGGGCCGACCGAAAAAAGCGUUAAUGAAAAGGAAAGUUGGUCAGCAGCACAAAAAAGUGCCACUUCAUGCCCACCACCACUAGCACCACCAGCACCACCACCACUCUUUGUGGUGGAAAGAAAAACAAAGAUGAAGACGGCGAAAAGAAGUCAAGGCACAGAGCGCCACAAAUUUCUAUAAACAAAGCGCGCUGGCCGAGAUGAGGAGGAGGAGGUCUUGGAGCAAAAUAAUCAAAGAACAGAGACGAAAAAAGUGGAAAAUGGGACAUGGCACACUCUUGGGCGAACAGAAACAACAAAAACCGAAUGAAAUUCAUGCCGUUGUCGCGCUCAUAAAUUCUUCCACUUCUACUUCCACUUGCACGCCUAUAGGCCCGGCAUAUCGCUGGCUAUCUGCAAGAUACAUAUUCCCUCACACGCACCCACGCCCCCACACCACCACCAGAAACCACUAACUCAUUCAUUGCAUCCGCUAUUCGGAGAGGGGAAAAAAAAAGAAUCUAUGUAGAUUUUUUGUGUGUGUUUUUUGAAUAAAUUCCAAGCCUAUCGAAGGUGUGAGGGUUUAUCGAACUCUUA